UACGUAGGGGGCAAGCGUUAUCCGGAUUCACUGGGUGUAAAAGGAGCGUAGACGGCGACGCAAGUCUGGAGUGAAAGCCCGGGGCCCAACCCCGGGACUGCUCUGGAAACUGCGGCGCUGGAGUACGGGAGGGGCAGGCGGAAUUCCUGGUGUAGCGGUGAAAUGCGUAGAUAUCAGGAGGAACACCGGCGGCGAAGGCGGCCUGCUGGACCGUGACUGACGUUGAGGCUCGAGAGCGUGGGGAGCAAACAGG
rnacentral:rRNA from 1 species